UAAGGUGGUUAUAGCGUUGGGGUUCCACCUCUUCCCAUUCCGAACAGAGAAGUUAAGCCCAAUAGCGCCGAUGGUACUGCAGAUUUUGUGGGAGAGUAGGUAGCCGCCGUUC
rfam:Fermentimonas caenicola genome assembly, chromosome: chrI